UACGAAGGGGGCUAGCGUUGCUCGGAAUCACUGGGCGUAAAGCGCACGUAGGCGGAUUUCUAAGUCAGGGGUGAAAUCCUGGAGCUCAACUCCAGAACUGCCUUUGAUACUGGGAAUCUCGAGUCCGGGAGAGGUGAGUGGAACUGCGAGUGUAGAGGUGAAAUUCGUAGAUAUUCGCAAGAACACCGGUGGCGAAGGCGGCUCACUGGCUCGGUACUGACGCUGAGGUGCGAAAGCGUGGGGAGCAAACAGG
rnacentral:rRNA from 1 species